rnacentral:lncRNA from 1 species
UUGGUUAGUUUAGCUAAUAACAGUAGGUUAUUAGUAGAAUAAAUGGUUAAGAAUUCAAAGGAUCAUAACCUUUGGAAUCCAUUAGCUGAUGGAUCAUCUUUUUGGUAGGAUAAAUAGGUUGAGGAAAGAGAGAUCGAGAGCCAAAUUGAGAGUCGUAAGCCGAGAGCCAGACUGAGAGUUGUAAGCUGGGGUAAGCUUGGUGCUACCUCUUUGUUUUUUUUAUUAUUUGCUUAUGAAGAAUGGUGAUUGAGAGAAGUAUUGUUGAAUUGAUAAUCGUAGAAUGGAUUAUGGGUUGAAUUAAGAUGGAAGUAGU